GCCGGUGUAGCUCAGUGGCAGAGCGGUGCUUUCGUAAAGCACAGGUCGUGGGUUCAACCCCCACCGCCGGCU
rnacentral:tRNA from 1 species